ACAAACAUGAUUUCAUAGAAAACCAUACAUUAAUGAACCACGGGAAACCACCAUCCAAACAGGGGGUAAGUUCUCAACGCAGCCCCAAAUUCCACGCAAACCUUAGCUGGCAAAGCCAUUUUUACAUAAAAUUCAAGCAAAGCUUGUCAUCGUCUACAGCCUAGUCCAUCUGUUUAUGGAAGAAAAUUCAAUACUUUUUGUAUUUCUCCAGCGAAUCCGAGCUCCAAACGGUAACACUCCGUCUUUUUCUCUAUUUCUUCUUUUCUCUUUCGAUUUCCCUCCUUCCAGUACAAAAUUCAAAUUUCGAAUUCCAAAUCGAAACGAGUCCAACAUCGUUAGUUUUGUGGAACCCUAGUAUUUGGGGGUUCUAUUUAUAGAACCCCAUCUCCUCAUUUCCAGACCAUGAUUUUUGUACCCCAAAAUCUCUAUUCUUUCAAUCGCACAACUUCUAAGUUGAAAUUUUGGAUUGUCGGAGAAAGUUCAAUAUUUUCGUUCUCUAAGUUCGGUGGUGAAAUCGAUCUUUGCUCUCGUCGUCCCAGUUGCUGCUCCGCAACAGGUCAACCUCCUAGAUCCAGCCAAGUGGAAUGGAGCAUUUCGGGCCAGCAGUUCGAACAUAUAAGACAUCAGAAGAAAUGGGCUAAGCCCUCUAGCUAUAGUUUUCUCUACUUUACUUUAUUUCUUUAUGUGUUUGUGUUGUGAAAAUGUACUAACAGUUUUUACUUUGUUUUACUUUUUUCAAACUCAAAUGAAUCCCGGGCAGAACGUGAAUUAAUUGUAGUCGCUAAACGCAAUAUCAUUUUUUGUGCAAGAAAUUCAAAAGGAAUUGAAUGAUUUUUUUCCCGAAAA